ACGCCGCCGCCGCCACCACCACCGCCAUAGAUACACUCUCAUCCUACGGGCCACGCCUGGGCCUUGCUGCCAGGAAGCUUCGGCCCCGCAGCUCGGCUUGCUGCGGUCUCAGGUUUCUUUACCUCCAGAAAGAAGAAUAUUGGCCCCUUGAAUUCUGGAAGUUCAUUGAAGAGUCUGAAAUUAGGGACUUAUUUCAAAUUUGGACAUGGCUAGUCGAGGCGCAACAAGACCCAACGGGCCAAAUACGGGAAAUAAAAUAUGCCAGUUCAAACUAGUACUUCUGGGAGAGUCCGCUGUUGGCAAAUCAAGCCUAGUGCUUCGUUUUGUGAAAGGCCAAUUUCAUGAAUUUCAAGAGAGUACCAUUGGGGGUGAGAUUUUCUUUUUUCCCUGCUUCAUUUAAUCGAAUCAUACAUUGACAGAAAAUAUUUUGAUGUUCCAAUUGUGUGAUUAUGAAUAGCUAAAUAAGUCAUAGAGUGAAGAAAAGAGCUGUUCAGCUUACCUUAGCUUUAAAACUUGCCUUUAUCUUUGUUAA
rnacentral:lncRNA from 1 species